rnacentral:lncRNA from 1 species
UCCUAUGUGGACUUUGCUGCUGAGUCAGUGUGAGACCUUGAACAAGUCUCUGUUUGUUUCGUACCAUUCAGAUUUCCUCGUCUGUAAACAUUAAGUAUCUACAUUCACUAAAAGUAGUUCUGAAUGAAUGUUAUUUAAUGGUGCCAAUGAUGUUGGAGGAUACCUGUGGAAACCUGGAUUAGAAGCAUGUGCUGCUCUCAGACCUGGCCUACAGAGAAGAACUGACACAGACUUCCUUAGAUGUGUUGUCUUCCUGUCACUGGUGCAUUCCUUAUCAAUGUGAAUCCAAAAUUCUUAUCAAGUUAUCUUCAAUCUAUGCAAGGAAAAUAUUUAUCCCAAAGGAGGAUUUUCAGAAGAUGACACAUGAGGGGCAUUCAUCACAGUCAAGUCUUUUGUUUUGAAAUACGGAAUCUGCAUACCUACUGCUUUCCAAGUUUUGUAAAAAAAAAA